GCUCCCAUGGUCUAGCGGCCUAGGACAUCGCCCUUUCAAGGCGGUAACACGGGUUCGAAUCCCGUUGGGAGCGCCA
rnacentral:tRNA from 1 species